UGUGGCUGCACCUCCUGAAUGCACCUGGUCUCAUCUGAUCUCUGAAGCUAAGCAGUGUCGGGCCCAGUCAGUACUUGGAUGGGAGAAAUAUGUUAUGUAAUAA
rnacentral:rRNA from 1 species